rnacentral:lncRNA from 1 species
CAGAGACACAGGCAGAGGGAGAAGCAGGCUCCAUGCAGGGAGCCCGACAUGGGACUUGAUCCCGGGUCUCCAGGAUCACACCCUGGGUGGAAGGCGGCGCUAAACCACUGAGCCACCCAGGCUCCCUUUUAUUAUUAUUUUUUUAUUUUUUAUUUUUUUUUCAGGAUCUGUCUUAAUGGAGUUUGGUGCUCCCAUUGGAAUGUGCAUCCAGUGCUGGAAUGAGGCACUCUGCUCUUGGCUCACUGUCCUCUGGGAAAGCAGGAACCGUCCUCUCCACUGAGACCUGAAAUGUCAACAUGAUGGGCAGAUUGGGAUGAAGCUGGGCUCCUGGCAACCAGUAGCUGCAACAGAACAAAAUAACUUCAGAAGAAGUUACUGAGCUUGAUAUUCAGCUGAGAGAGAUGGCACUGUGUCAAUGCUGAGCAGCAGACUGAAUCCAGUACAUACAAGUUCUGAAGUUGGACUCCAAGAAGCCAUACAUGUGAAGCAGGCUCAAGCAUUUUAGUGGUGUUGGUCAAAAAACUAAACUCAAUAACUUCAUUUUACCCUAUGGAAGGACCUGCAGUUCUUUUAUACUCAGAACCACCAGAGUGAGCUCUGGUGUCAGAAGAGGGAACUGAAGGAGAUCCCCUGGUGGCCCCCUGAAGUGCUCCGUCAAUCUGUGCAAAUGUGUGUUUUGUGGAGUUAUCUUACUCCAGACCAGAUGUUCUUGGCUGAACUUCAGGACAUCCUGAUUCUGUUUACAGGUGAGGAAGGCCCAAAGUCUAGUGCCC